CACAAGUCUUUCUACCAUCAAGGAAAGCACUCUGGUUCUCUGAUCAACCUCGAAGACUCUAGUUCUAGUCCAUAUCCAUCAAAUCUAGAAUUGCAGAGG